CAGGGAAUUUUGCGCAAUGGGCGAAAGCCUGACGCAGCAACGCCGCGUGGGGGAAGAAGGCUCUCGGGUCGUAAACCCCUUUUGCCGGGGAAGAUAAUGACGGUACCCGGCGAAUAAGCCACGGCUAACUACGUGCCAGCAGCCGCGGUAACACGUAGGUGGCAAGCGUUGUCCGGAUUUAUUGGGCGUAAAGGGCGCGCAGGCGGUUCGUUAAGUCCGAGGUGAAAUCUCCCGGCUCAACUGGGAGGGGUCUUCGGAUACUGGCGGACUUGAGGAGAGCAGAGGUGAGCGGAAUCCUCGGUGUAGUGGUGAAAUGCGUAGAUAUCGAGGGGAACACCAGCGGCGAAGGCGGCUCACUGGGCUCCACCUGACGCUGAGGCGCGAAAGCGUGGGGAGCAAACCGGAUUAGAUACCCGGGUAGUCCACGCUGUAAACGAUGGGCACUAGGUGUGGGGGGUAUUGACCCCUCCGUGCCGAAGCUAACGCAA
rnacentral:rRNA from 1 species